UAUGAACUUUAUUAUGCUUCCGUAUCUUUUAUAAUCUUCAUCUCUCUUCUUUAUUCUCUUUUUGUCUACCCACUUAUCCUUUUUUUUUAUUCUUCAUCUCUCUUCUUUAUCAAUACUGCAUCCUUUCUCCAAAAUCAAGAACAACGCUGCAACUCUCUAUUUCUCACAGUAACCGCUCGGCUCUCUCUCAAUCGUUCCAGCCAUCUCCUCCCUCUAACUUCCGCCGCCGCGGCUCCUCCUCACACGACUCGCACACACCAGUCACAUCUCCCUCGCCUCUCUUCUCUCCCGUUGCCGCCGACUGCUGCUGCUUCGCCGAAGUCGCUGCUGCUUCGCCGAGUCGCUGCUGCUUCGGCCGAGUCGCGGUUGCUGCCUGGAACUGCUGCCGCUCGCCGCCUGCGGCUGGAACCGCUGCUGCUGCUCGCCCGCCAACUGCUGCUCGCCGCCUGACGGAGGCAACUGCUGCCUGAGCACCGAGCCGCUGCUGUAGGGAGGCCAACGAACAGCCGGGUCUCGAUCGCUUGUCGCACGGUCUCCGCCUGAAGUCGCCGAGUCAGCCGCCUUCGACUGCUGCUGUCGCCGAGGAGUCCGCCGACUGCUGCUGUUCGUUGAGGAGUCCGCCGGCUGCUGUUGCAGAGUUCCGACGGCCACCACCGUCGUCGGCUGCCGCUGCCUCGCCCAAGACCGACUUCUGCUGCCAAGCACCGAACGCUGCUGCUGUAGGGAGGCCGGCGAACAGCCGGGUGUUCGCCGUUUCCAGUUCUUCUCCGAGUUCCGAAGCCGGUGAGAGCUCCAUCAUCGCGUCGUCUCGUUCGUCUCUCGGUUCAGGCGAAGUCGCCCCUGCUCAGCUGGACGACCUCCGCCUCCUCUUCAUCGGUCCGCGUCGACGUCAUUUGGUACCCGUCCCCGGUUUAAUGAAAACAGUGCAAGGGGGAGCAUCAUAGAAUGGGAUUCAAUUUCUGUAAAAAUACUAUGGAUUAAUCUUUUUACAGCAACUCGUGGUUUGCUUAUGACCCAUGUGUGGAAUAAGGGAAGAAGGUGGAGCAUUGAAGACAAGCUUACCUUGAGAAUACUUGGUAGGAUGAAUUAAAGGCUCACUUCUCCUUGUGCAGUCCUCAAAUGAAGAAUGAAGAGAAUGCAACAAUGUUGGCUGUUUUGAAUGACGAGGUGGUUUGGCUGGGAGCUUGUAUACUUAGGUGUACUUGGGCAUGGCAGCCUGCUGCAUAGGCGUGGGAAAAGAAAAGGUGCAGCAAGCUCAAGAGGGGAUAGGGGAGUGUGCAGCACAUGUCUCCACCCCCUUUCUCUUUUUCCCAUUUUCUUGAACUUAGGGGGGGUGGCAGAGUACUGUAGCAACACUGUUGAGUACUGUAGCAAUAACUAUUGAGUACUGUAGCGGCACUGUAGCAACGACUGUUUGAGUACUGUAGCGGUACUGAUUGUUUUGUGUCUACAAUAAAUCUUUCAUUGGUUCUGUAUUAGAAA